CCUUGAAAUAUGUCAAAAUUGUGUCUUCUUCAGUGCUGCCACAUGGCUGUACCACCACUCUGCCAUAGUCAGCUGUGAUCUUCAUUGCCAACGUUCCCAGACACCUUCGCACAAAAAUGCUUCCCACAAGAAUUCUGUGGGUGACGGGAGCAAAAAAACCCAACUGCUGCACCCAUAAACUUUUGUGCUGAGAAGGGAAUUUCAAAUCCAAAGAGGCAUCGGUGGCAAGCAGGCGGUGCAGCUUGUGGCUUGCCUCUGGCUUGUGAAGCCCAUGAUAGCAAAGUCUUUUGCAUAAAAGGACUGAGUCACAGGAGUUCAGCUGUACAAGGCGUUUAUCAGAUCCAGCAUGGAAAUAAACAGUUUAAAAAACAGGACUUACCAUGGGAUUUAUUUUUUACUUUCAAGAGAAUGCUACUGGUUGGCAACCAACUAGAAGGGGAAGACAAAAGAGUUGUUUUGGUCCGCUUCUUUUGCAAAUGCUCUCUAUUCCUGUUUAUUGACUUCUUGUAUUGUAUAGUAAAAGCUGUGUUCAUCUGAGUUCUCAUCAGCCAAUUUGAAGGCAUAACUUUGGGGUUCGCAGUUGUGGAAGUACUCAUCAAGUAAUCAUUAAAUGACUUCAAAGAAGGAGUAGGGUCCGUAUCAGUAGAGGCUAAAGUCAGAGUAUGAUGGAAUUUGGUUUCCAUAGUAGACUUGGAGGGACUUGCCUUAAUUCCUUCAGAUGCAAUUAUUUGCACAGGAGUGUUGCCAUUCUCCGCUGUAUACACUGGAUUGUCCAUCUGCUCUCCUUUAUACAUUUUGGUCUGCUCCAAGUGUUGUGGAGGUUCUGUUAGAUCUGCCUUUUUCUUGGAGACCUCAGAAUUAGGAAGCGGCAUUUGAAGCAUUUCUUCCUGCAUCUUUGGUGGGAUACUUUUAAGAGAUUGGACUGGAACUCUCUGUUCUUCCAAGGAGACGUGAGGAAAAGUAAUAGCAUUCGUGAUUUCCCCUUCAGGACUUCUCACAUGUGUUGUCAUCCAUUGUGUGGUUGUAGAGACAUCAUUCCGAGGACUGACAAAUUCAGCGAUAGCUCCAUGGUUUUUUGCUGUUUCCAAUGUUGUCAUUCUUUGAGGAUUAUGAGUCAUGUGUGGAAAGGUUGAAUAAACAUCUGGCUUGUGUAUAAAAGCUUCUUCA
rnacentral:lncRNA from 1 species